rnacentral:misc_RNA from 1 species
AAGUCGUAACAAGGUUUCCGUAGGUGAACCUGCGGAAGGAUCAUUGCCACACACGAUCCAAGAUCGACACUUUAUUGUGAACUGUUUAAAAUGUUUUAUUGUUUAUUGAAGGUUUUUGUUAUGUACUUGUAUAUAAAUGAAUCUUUAAUGACAAAUAAUAAUUAUUACACCAAAAAAAAAAUAACAACUUGAAUAAUUCAAAUUGGAACUUAAAUGUUAUAUAAAAGUUUGUCUUUUAUUAUAACGCUAGAUUGAAAAUUGUAAAACAACUUUUAACAACGGAUAUCUAGGUUCUU